rnacentral:lncRNA from 1 species
AUCUUUUCAUUCCAAAGGUUGCAUUCAAAUUCAAUAGCAGAAAAGGAAAGAAAAAUGAAAAGUUUCUCAGCAUUUGUUGUUCUUUUACUUGUUCUCUUCAACGCUUCUGCAGGUGAAUUUUACACCUUAAUUAGUUCUUCUUGUGUAGUAUUUAUUAUUAUUUUUUAAUCCAUCAAAUCUUUGAUUACAAUUGCGAUCUCUCACGUAUUUCGUUAUGGCAGAAAUUGGAUAAAAUAUAAAUUUUUAGCGAUUGAUUUUACACAAUGUUGAUAAUUUGGCAUAUGUUAACCUAUAAUUUAAUUCGGAUUAUUAAUCAUCUAUUUCGCAUUUGAUAAUUUAAUUUAAUUAUGGCAUGUGAUUUUUCAGGGGAUGCUCAAAGUUGUAAACUGAAAUUUCAUCCUCCUGGAGGAGAUUGCACCGUGCUUAAGUGUGCACCAGCUUGUGCUCAGGUCGGACCCAAUUGCAAGGGGCGCUGCUUAGAUAAUUUGAAUUGUUGUUGCAUUUGUCCACAACCACUUAAUAAUUAGGAUGUAACAAUUUUAUGGUGGAUUCCAAUUGAAUAAUAUUAAUAAAAUAAAAAUUCAAAUGUUGACCAAACCGUGGAAAAAAACAGUGAUAUAUCGCGUGCCGUUUACCCAUUUUCACUUGGGCGAUACACCGG